ensembl:ncRNA C25F6.12 ncRNA
CACACACACACUCACAUACUCACCUCAACACCAGAGACUUACACAGCACAUCGUCAAGUGACGUGUUUGACUCUACCUGUCUACCACUCUCCCCUUCAUUUACCUUCGGCAAGAGAGGUCAUACUUAUCGUUGCGACCCCCCGGUGUCCUUGCCUAUCGUUUCGUUCUGUGUCUUUCAACUACCUCCUCCUCACGGAUGAACACCGUUCGGCAUGAGUGGAAUGC